UGUUGUGGAAUUUUGCAUCAUCUAGCUACAGGUGCAGAGGAAACCACGAUCAGUGAGCACAACAGCUGAAGGCAACAGUGAUGACUAUCACCUACACACAACGGUGAAGAGGAUUUUCAGAGAGUGCAUCCUGGUGAAGUACAACAGAGAGAACAGUGUGUUCCACGCCCAUGUGUGUUCUCCCUGCUUAUGGCACACUUCAGAGAGAAACCUGAGGGACUCAUUUUGAUAUAUUUAAUUGGAAUCAACCCAACCAGUGGCGCCAAGAUGGUAAAGCUGGU